AGGUUAUUUGACUUCUCUAGAGGGCUGCUGCCGCAAUGAUCCAGGAAAUAGAACCCAGUUAAAGAUUGUGGCAGAGAGAUGGAAGGACUAAAACCUCAGGGAUGCUGUGGUGGUGCAGAGGUUCAACACAAACCACUUAUGGAGGCUUCAGUCCUUGAUGUGGCCGUCGCAGAAACAUGUUCUCUGGAAGGUGGAGGAUGUCUCUGGCAGCACCAACCACCACCCUCAUGGAAGGAGGAUGACGCUGAUGAAGCAUGUGGACAGGAGCUUCUGCAGACAAUCCCUGUUGAGAUUUUGCCUGAAUCGAAGUCGACUGGCAGGAUCUCCUCCGGCUGUCUUCUUUCUUUGGGUUCAGAGGUUUCUAGCACUUGAACGCACCGUUAGAGUGAUGUUGUUACUACACUGUGAUCUGUUCGCUGCGAUCAGGUGGAUUGACGUCUGGACGGGGUUCGACUGGCGGAUCAGGAACUGGUCUGCAGUGGCUCGCGUGGACACAGCUGGUUCUUCCAGCAGUCCGAGUCGCAAACAGCCCCAGGAAGAGUCCUUGCCAAGUCGCCGGUGUUCUCCAUGGAGCUUCUUCAGCACCGUCCGGUCAGCAGGCUUCAGUCGGUGCUGACGGAUUUCUGCGGGGCUCAUUGCUGAAAACCAGCGGGAGUUUGAACGCGAUGUCCCCGGGAGACAGACGCUCUCUCUCCGCCCGUCAGCCGGUAGAGCGGGCGAGGCGAGCCGGUGGCGGAAGCGGAAGCGGAAGCAGACAUGUCCGAACACGACUGAGCAUUUCGUUACGUGCUACGGCGAUCCGCGCGCCUUUUGCGUCCACCAGUGAACGACGCGCGGGAAAAUCAGGAGUCGGAGGAGAUUCAAGGAUUUCUCACACAAGCACCAAAGAAUCAAAGCAACUCCAGAUUCUUGACUCGACUGACUGUAACCACCCGGCAGACAGCGACACCAGGCGGAAGAGAAGAAGAAGAGCGCCACCGGAGUGAAUGUGGCCACAACGAAUCGUCGAGACAGAGGUGGAGUGAAGUUUGCCCUGACACAUUUAGGUGUCAGUCAACUCGGCUACACUGUUAUUAAUAAAUAAUUAAUAAA